rnacentral:rRNA from 1 species
AGCGAACGCUGGCGGCAGGCUUAACACAUGCAAGUCGAACGCCCCGCAAGGGGAGUGGCAGACGGGUGAGUAACACGUGGGAACGUACCCUUUGGUUCGGAAUAACUUGGGGAAACUCAAGCUAAUACCGGAUAAGCCCUUAUGGGGAAAGGUUUACUGCCGAAGAAUCGGCCCGCGUCUGAUUAGCUAGUUGGUGAGGUAAUGGCUCACCAAGGCGACGAUCAGUAGCUGGUCUGAGAGGAUGAUCAGCCACACUGGGACUGAGACACGGCCCAGACUCCUACGGGAGGCAGCAGUGGGGAAUAUUGGACAAUGGGGGCAACCCUGAUCCAGCCAUGCCGCGUGAGUGGUGAAGGCCUUAGGGUUGUAAAGCUCUUUUACCCGGGACGAUAAUGACUGUACCGGGAGAAUAAGCCCCGGCUAACUUCGUGCCAGCAGCCGCGGUAA